GCGUGUUUAGAAUAUUGAUAACAAUGUGUUCAGCAGUAUAGCAGGAGCAGGCCCUUGUUUUCACCUUAACAAAUCUCGGGGACGAUAUUUUCUUAAGGGGUAAGGUCUAUCACACCCUCUGUUUAGCUUUCGUGAGUAAUUAUCUUAUUUCAAAAAUUGGGACCAAUUUAAAUUUUUUGUGAAAGCUUGUGAUGCUUGAAGUGAC
rnacentral:lncRNA from 1 species